rnacentral:rRNA from 1 species
CCUACGGGAGGCUGCAGUAGGGAAUCUUCCACAAUGGGCGAAAGCCUGAUGGAGCAACGCCGCGUGGGUGAAGAAGGUCUUCGGAUCGUAAAACCCUGUUGUUAGAGAAGAAAGUGCGUGAGAGUAACUGUUCACGUUUCGACGGUAUCUAACCAGACAGCCCCGGCUAACUACGUGCCAGCAGCCGCGGUAAUACGUAGGUGGCAAGCGUUAUCCGGAUUUAUUGGGCGUAAAGGGAACGCAGGCGGUCUUUUAAGUCUGAUGUGAAAGCCUUCGGCUUAACCGGAGUAGUGCAUUGGAAACUGGGAGACUGGAGUGCAGAAGAGGAGAGUGGAACUCCAGGUGUAGCGGUGAAAUGCGUAGAUAUAUGGAAGAACACCAGUGGCGAAAGCGGCUCUCUGGUCUGUAACUGACGCUGAGGUUCGAAAGCGUGGGUAGCAAACAGGAUUAGAUACCCUUGUAGUC